rnacentral:rRNA from 1 species
UUAUGGCUCAGAUUGAACGCUGGCGGCGUGCCUAACACAUGCAAGUCGUGCGUGAAAGGGCUUCGGCCUGAGUAAAGCGGCGCACGGGUGAGUAACGCGUGGAUGAUCUGCCCAUGAGUUGGGAAUAACGGCUGGAAACGGUCGCUAAUACCGAAUACGCUCCGAUUUCAAACUUCGGGGGAAAGGUGGCCUCUGCUUGCAAGCUACCGCUCAUGGAUGAGUCCGCGUCCCAUUAGCUUGUUGGCGGGGUAAUGGCCCACCAAGGCGACGAUGGGUAGCCGACCUGAGAGGGUGAUCGGCCACACUGGGACUGGAACACGGCCCAGACUCCUACGGGAGGCAGCAGUGGGGAAUAUUGCGCAAUGGGCGAAAGCCUGACGCAGCGACGCCGCGUGAGGGAUGAAGGCCUUCGGGUCGUAAACCUCUGUCAGGAGGGAAGAACCGCUCAGGUGCUAAUCAGCCUGGGUCUGGCGGUACCUCCAAAGGGAGCACCGGCUAACUCCGUGCCAGCAGCCGC